rnacentral:lncRNA from 1 species
UUCGGUUUAGGGUUUGGAUUAGGGUUUGGAUUAGGAUUUAGGAUUUGGAUUAGGAUUUGAAUUAAAAUUUAGGAUUUGGUUAGGGUUUGAUUUAGGAUUUGGAUUAGGGUUUGAUUUAAGGUUUGGAUUAGAGUUUGGACUAGGGUUUGGUUAGGGUUUGAUUUAAGGUUUGGUUUAGGGUUUAGGAUUUGGAUUAGAGUUUAGGAUUGGAUUAGGGUUUGGAUUAGGAUUUGGAUUAGGGUUUAGGAUUUGGUUAGGGUUUGAUUUAGGAUUUGGUUUAGGAUUUAGGAUUUGAAAUAGGGUUUAAUUUAAGAUUUAUUUAGGAUUUGACUUAGGGUUUAGGAAUUAUUAGGGUUUAAGAUUUAAUUAGGUUUGGUCUAAAGUUGAGUGAAAUUCAAUAGGGUUUUAACUAGAAUUAAAUU